rnacentral:misc_RNA from 1 species
CGUAAAGGUGCAUGAGUGGUGUUUGGUUWGUUUCCGGUGGAUGGCUCUMUGCUUUUGCAACAACUUCCACCUGGCAUUCCUUUUCAUUUCUGCGUCAAGGUUGCAUUUCCUUGAGCGCUUAUGGUUUCCUGUGUUGCCUACCUACGUGACGGUAUUGUUUGAUUACAUCAAAGUCGUGUUUCAUCGUGUGUCAUCUGUAUGGCGUAGGAUGAACCUCGAAGCUGCUUCUAUGAUCCACCUUGGCGUUGCAUAUGCAUUGACGUUGUGGCUUGUUGAGUUUUGCUUGGUUUUCUGGAUGCAGAACAUGAUAUGGGUGUGGGUCUUACGCGAUCCUUGUUUUGCCCUUGUUGAACGUUGUUAUUACUCCGAGAUGACUGCUUACCCCGAAUUGGCUCGUACCACCGGGGUAGGUUGCGUUGUUGAAGAGCAAUACUGGCGUUCUUGCUUCUCUAAAACAGACAGCCUCGCCUUGAUGGGCUCGUACCAGCGGGUGGGCUAUGUCGAAGAGGGAUGCUACCUGGUUGAUCCUGCCAGUAGUCAUAUGCUUGUCUCAAAAAUUAAGCCAUGCAUGUGUAAGUA